CGUGUCUGUGUGUGUGUCUCAGCUGAAUUGGGCUCUGACGCAGUUAUGACGAACACUGGUCCUGAAAUCACCGCCCUGUGCACAACAAGGCCAGUCAAUCAUUAAGAUUUGACAAGGAUUUACAGUCGCGUACGUGUGGUUAAAGGCCUUGCUCAGGGUGGUGGUACUUAGUGGACCUUGGAUUUGAACUCACAACCUGCCGGUGGACGAGUCACAGGUGGAGAUCCGGAACUGAUCUGAGUCAUCGGCUGCAUUUACCCUCCAAGAUAUAUUAUUUUGUUUUUUACUGAUAUGCUUUAACAAUAUUACAGUAUACAUUGUUUUUGGAAGGG